CGAGCGCGCACGAUGUCUUUGACCACACGAUGGAGUUACUCGAGCAGUAACAGUGUUUUUUUUUACUGUUGGCGUCUGGUCAGCCGUUGGUCUUUUUUUACGUUGGGGGCUGCUUCAAGAGUCGAUGGCGGGUGGACCUCAUGAGGUGGUUUCGCCUUGUUUCGGUGCGAUUGAAUUAGCCACGAAGAUGAAAAUAUCUCCCUCGUCAGCCCCUCUCACGUCAUCCUCGAUUCCUUCCGCUCCCUCGCGACCCCCGCCGCCGCCUCCUCUCCCGCUACCGCCGCGCCAGGGCCUCGCCUCGCCCUCACUGGCCACCGGCGACCUCCAACCCUUGUUCUCCGCCUCGUCGCCAUAGCCACCUUGAGCUCGAGCAGAGGAGCGGCUCGGCAGGAGGGGGCAACAGCCAGCCGCGCCUCGUCCGUGUCGCGUGGUGGCCCAGAUGCGGUCGUCCCGUGCUCUGCCUCCACGAGCGCGGCCUCGAUCCAGACUCGGCAGGAGGAGGGGAGCAGCAGCUGGCCAUGCUGUGUUGGCCGUGGAGGAGGAAGGAGCUCAUGUGGCUAGGGUUUGGCUACCCUCGUCAUCCAUCUCCUCGAUCUCUCUCUGCCUGGCCGUGGUCUGAAGGAGGAAGAAGGGACGCAGCGAAAUCGAGCGAUGCGGGCUGCAAUAGCCUAAAUAGGUGGCGGUCGAGACCACGGGAGCGGGAGCGAUGGCCAUCUGCCCCCGCCCCACUCUCUUUACCUCUUCUAUGGAGAUGCUUUGCUGGGGACAUAUGAUUUCAUCCCAUUCUGUACUAUCCAUCAGUUAUGGAUUUCUCUCGCCACUUUCUUUUUAGUCAAUGAAUUGGUGUCUAAUAUAGGAAGGCUAAUUCGUCCCCAAUCUAGGCCUCGGAUCCACGGCUUCUCCAUCUUCUUCCUCCAGCCCCUUUCUCCAUGUCGGCCAUCCAAGAUAGAGACGGCUUAGAUGGCAAGGGCCAAGCAUCAGCAUGGACGACGGCCUCCAAGAUUUAAGUGGUCAAGUAUGAAUGACGAUGCAGCUUGCAGAGUCAGGGUACCGACACCCAAAUAAGUUCAGGCCAGUCCUUGAUGUGAAGAAGCUAAGGGAGGCGGAUCCCGACCCUUAUGACAGCCAAAAUUAGGCCGCCACUCGUCUCUCUCCUACACCUGCUCUUCAGAUGGCCAACAACACUUCGCGAGCAAUGACUGCUGUCCAGUUAAGAGCAAGAAAGAUCUUGCUGUUACUUGUCUUUUCAACAGUUCUUCUGUGUGGAAGGCACUUUGCUCACACUCAAAUACUACCUCUGAAACAUGGAAGAAGGAAAAGGUUACUCUUCUGAUCUUGAGAAAACAGUUUCAGAGAAGCUAGCAGAUGUAGAAGAUUCUCUGAAGAAGUUGAAGCAGGUUCUCUUCAAUUUGCUGUUGUGCUAGGCAUGAACAGAAUGGCUUCCUCUUCUUGCGAACCACACUGAUGUUGUCUUCUGGUUUCUGCUGCAAUGGUUUUUUUUACUAUGGACAACGUUUCUUGAGGCUAUGUCUCUGCUAUAGGUCUCCGCAUUUCGGGGGACUAAGUCCGACGACGGGAGAUUCUACAUAUAUUUUCUAAAAGACAUGUCACUUGGUCGAGGCCUUGAUCAUGGUGAUAUGUGUUUAUUCGUCCGGUGACUCAGUAGAACGAUAACCUCUGUGCACAGUGAUGUUUCAGUUUCUACAUUGAUGGUUUCAAGCAUAAGAAGGUUUCAAAAUUAAAUGAGCCUUGUACAGGACUGAUAACAAAUUAUGCUUUCUGAGUUUCUGAGUUUCAAGCUACUGAAAGUAAUUGAAGCUUUGCCUUCGCUAUGUAAGAAUGGUUGCAUGUGUUAAUUAGUGGUGCACAUUUUUUGAGACUGUCCAAAAUUCUAUUAUAAAAUGCUUAUAUGAAAUUGAUGGGUA